GGCAGGCCUAACACAUGCAAGUCGAGCGGUAGAGAGAAGCUUGCUUCUCUUGAGAGCGGCGGACGGGUGAGUAAUACCUAGGAAUCUGCCUGAUAGUGGGGGAUAACGUUCGGAAACGGACGCUAAUACCGCAUACGUCCUACGGGAGAAAGCAGGGGACCUUCGGGCCUUGCGCUAUCAGAUGAGCCUAGGUCGGAUUAGCUAGUUGGUGAGGUAAUGGCUCACCAAGGCUACGAUCCGUAACUGGUCUGAGAGGAUGAUCAGUCACACUGGAACUGAGACACGGUCCAGACUCCUACGGGAGGCAGCAGUGGGGAAUAUUGGACAAUGGGCGAAAGCCUGAUCCAGCCAUGCCGCGUGUGUGAAGAAGGUCUUCGGAUUGUAAAGCACUUUAAGUUGGGAGGAAGGGCAGUUACCUAAUACGUGACUGUCUUGACGUUACCGACAGAAUAAGCACCGGCUAACUCUGUGCCAGCAGCCGCGGUAAUACAGAGGGUGCAAGCGUUAAUCGGAAUUACUGGGCGUAAAGCGCGCGUAGGUGGUUUGUUAAGUUGAAUGUGAAAUCCCCGGGCUCAACCUGGGAACUGCAUCCAAAACUGGCAAGCUAGAGUAUGGUAGAGGGUAGUGGAAUUUCCUGUGUAGCGGUGAAAUGCGUAGAUAUAGGAAGGAACACCAGUGGCGAAGGCGACUACCUGGACUGAUACUGACACUGAGGUGCGAAAGCGU
rnacentral:rRNA from 1 species